rnacentral:rRNA from 1 species
AUUGAACGCUGGCGGCAUGCCUUACACAUGCAAGUCGAACGGUAACAGGUCUUCGGAUGCUGACGAGUGGCGAACGGGUGAGUAAUACAUCGGAACGUGCCCGAGAGUGGGGGAUAACGAAGCGAAAGCUUUGCUAAUACCGCAUACGAUCUCAGGAUGAAAGCAGGGGACCGCGAGGCCUUGCGCUCACGGAGCGGCCGAUGGCAGAUUAGGUAGUUGGUGGGAUAAAAGCUUACCAAGCCGACGAUCUGUAGCCGGUCUGAGAGGACGACCAGCCACACUGGGACUGAGACACGGCCCAGACUCCUACGGGAGGCAGCAGUGGGGAAUUUUGGACAAUGGGCGCAAGCCUGAUCCAGCCAUGCCGCGUGCAGGAUGAAGGCCUUCGGGUUGUAAACUGCUUUUGUACGGAACGAAAAGACUCCUUCUAAUAAAGGGGGUCCAUGACGGUACCGUAAGAAUAAGCACCGGCUAACUACGUGCCAGCCGCCGCCGUAAAAC